rnacentral:rRNA from 1 species
CCCCUAGAUGUUCUGGGCCGCACGCGCGCUACUCUGAACAGUUCAACAAGUCUUAACCUUGGCCGAUAGGUCUGGGUAAUCUUUGAACGCUGUUCGUGAUUGGGAUAGACCUUUGCAAUUAUGGGUCUUCAACGAGGAAUUCCUAGUAAACGCAAGUCAUCAGCUUGCAUUGAUUACGUCCCUGCCCUUUGUACACACCGCCCGUCGCACCUACCGAUUGAAUGGUCCGGUGAAAUCUCGGGACGGCGGCUUGGUCGCUUGCGUCCGACUGCUGAAACUUGAUUAAACCAUAUCAUUUAGAGGAAGGUGAAGUCGUAACA